AUUGAACGCUGGCGGCAUGCCUUACACAUGCAAGUCGAACGGCAGCACGGGAGCAAUCCUGGUGGCGAGUGGCGAACGGGUGAGUAAUACAUCGGAACGUGCCCAGUAGUGGGGGAUAACCCGGCGAAAGCCGGACUAAUACCGCAUACGACCCAUGGGUGAAAGCGGGGAGUCGCAAGACCUCGCGCUAUUGGAGCGGCCGAUGUCAGAUUAGCUAGUGGUGGGGUAAAGCCUACCAAGGCGACGAUCUGUAGCUGGUCUGAGAGGACGACCAGCCACACUGGGACUGAGACACGGCCCAGACUCCUACGGGAGGCAGCAGUGGGGAAUUUUGGACAAUGGGCGCAAGCCUGAUCCAGCCAUGCCGCGUGCGGGAAGAAGGCC
rnacentral:rRNA from 1 species